GCUGUAGCUCAGUGGUAGUGAAUCUGCUCUGCCUGCAGAAGGUCCCAGGUUCAAUCCCUGAAAUCUUGGAGGAGCC